GACUAACGCUAAUACCGCAUACGACCUACGGGUGAAAGCGGAGGACCUUCGGGCUUCGCGCGGUUGAAUGAGCCGAUGUCGGAUUAGCUAGUUGGCGGGGUAAAGGCCCACCAAGGCGACGAUCCGUAGCUGGUCUGAGUGGAUGAUCAGCCACACUGGAACUGAGACACGGUCCAGACUCCUACGGGAGGCAGCAGUG
rnacentral:rRNA from 1 species